rnacentral:lncRNA from 1 species
UUUUAUUUGCUUUCUAUAGAGUUAUCUCAAUCUUCUAACCUAGAUCACGGGUUUGGUAGGUAAACACGAGUCGACUCGUUUUAAUUUUUGGGUCUUUUUUUAUUUUUUUUUCAACUUCACCCUCUAACUACUUAAUAUUCUUUUUUUUUAAUUUAAUGUUUUUUCAAUUUCAUCUUUUGAUAUUAGAUUGUUUGGGAAUUGAACUUCGUAACUUGUUUUAAUUUGCUUUUUGUGGAGUUAUCCUAGUAUCCUGAUCUUAUGGAUAUAGUUUUUUCUUUUCUUUUCUUUGCUAUUUCAACCUUUAAUAUUUGAUCUAUUGAAAAUGAA